rnacentral:rRNA from 1 species
GGAUGCGAUCAUACCAGCACUAAAUGCACGCGGAAUCCCAUCAGAACUCCGAAGUUAAGCGUGCUUGGGCGAGAGUAGUACUAGAGGAUGGGUGACCCCUGGGAAGUCCUACGUGUUGCAUCCC